UACAGAGGUCUCAAGCGUUGUUCGGAUUCAUUGGGCGUAACGGGUGCGUAGGUGGCGCCGUAAGUCGGGUGUGAAAUUUCGGAGCUUAACUCCGAAACUGCAUUCGAUACUGCGGUGCUUGAGGACUGGAGAGGAGACUGGAAUUCAUGGUGUAGCAGUGAAAUGCGUAGAGAUCAUGAGGAAGACCAGUGGCGAAGGCGGGUCUCUGGACAGUUCCUGACACUGAGGCACGAAGGCCAGGGGAGCAAACGGG
rnacentral:rRNA from 1 species